UCCCUGGUGGGUUAGAGAGUAAAGCAUCAGCCUGCAACGCAGAAGACCUGGGUUCAUUUCCUGGUUUGGGAA
rnacentral:tRNA from 1 species